UACGGAGGGUGCAAGCGUUGCUCGGAAUUAUUGGGCGUAAAGGGGAGGUAGGUGGUCUCGUUUGUCUGGGGUGAAAUCCCUGAGCUUAACUCAGGACGUGCCUCGGAAACGGCGAGACUGGAGUACUGGAGAGGCUAGCGGAAUACCCGGUGUAGCGGUGAAAUGCGUAGAGAUCGGGUGGAACACCAGAGGCGAAGGCGGCUAGCUGGACAGUUACUGACAACUCAACUCCGAA
rnacentral:rRNA from 1 species